GAGAUGGAUUGGUGCCUUCGGGAACGUCUGACACAGGUGCUGCAUGGCUGUCGUCAGCUCGUGUCGUGAGAUGUUGGGUUAAGUCCCGUAACGAGCGCAACCCUUGCCUUUAGUUGCCAGCAGUUCGGCUGGGCACUCUAAGGGACUGCCGGUGUUAAACCGGAGGAAGGUGGGGAUGACGUCAAGUCCUCAUGGCCUUUAUGACCAGGGCUACACACGUACUACAAUGGCCGAUACAAAGGGCAGCGACACUGCGAGGUGAAGCCAAUCCCGUAAAAUCGGUCUCAGUCCGGAUUGGAGUCUGCAACUCGACUCCAUGAAGUUGGAAUCGCUAGUAAUCGUGGAUCAGCAUGCCACGGUGAAUACGUUCCCGGGCCUU
rnacentral:rRNA from 1 species